AGAACUUAGCAGAGAUGCUUUGGUGCCUUCGGGAACUCUGAGACAGGUGCUGCAUGGCUGUCGUCAGCUCGUGUUGUGAAAUGUUGGGUUAAGUCCCGCAACGAGCGCAACCCUUAUCCUUUGUUGCCAGCGGUCCGGCCGGGAACUCAAAGGAGACUGCCAGUGAUAAACUGGAGGAAGGUGGGGAUGACGUCAAGUCAUCAUGGCCCUUACGAGUAGGGCUACACACGUGCUACAAUGGCGCAUACAAAGAGAAGCGACCUCGCGAGAGCAAGCGGACCUCAUAAAGUGCGUCGUAGUCCGGAUUGGAGUCUGCAACUCGACUCCAUGAAGUCGGAAUCGCUAGUAAUCGUAGAUCAGAAUGCUACGGUGAAUACGUUCCCGGGCCUUGUACACACCGCCCGUCACACCAUGGGAGUGGGUUGCAAAAGAAGUGGGUAGCUUAACCUUCGGGAGGGCGCUUACCACUUUGUGAUUCAUGACUGGGGUGAAGUCGUAACAAGGUAAGCGUAGCGAG
rnacentral:rRNA from 1 species